rnacentral:misc_RNA from 1 species
AAGUCGUAACAAGGUUUCCGUAGGUGAACCUGCGGAAGGAUCAUUCAUAAUAAGUGUUUUAUGGCACUUUUUAAAUCCAUAUCCACCUUGUGUGCAAUGUCAGUCGAUCUUCUUCAUGGAGAUUGACCAAACAUCAACCUUUAUCUUUUAACACUUUGUCUGAAAAAUAUUAUGAAUAAACAAUUCAAAAUACAACUUUCAACAACGGAUCUCUUGGCUCUC